rnacentral:rRNA from 1 species
ACGUAGGUGGCGAGCGUUAUCCGGAAUGAUUGGGCGUAAAGGGUGCGUAGGCGGUACGGUAAGUCUGUAGUAAAAGGCGGCAGCUCAACUGUCGUAGGCUAUGGAAACUGUCGAACUAGAGUGCAGAAGAGGGCGAUGGAACUCCAUGUGUAGCGGUAAAAUGCGUAGAUAUAUGGAAGAACACCAGUGGCGAAGGCGGUCGCCUGGUCUGUAACUGACGCUGAAGCACGAAAGCGUGGGGAGCAAAUAG